rnacentral:rRNA from 1 species
AUACAUGCAAGUCGAGGGAGAUUCUUUUUUCGAAAAGAUGAACCGGCGAACGGGUGAGUAACGCGUACACUACCUACCUUAUACUGAGGAAUAGCCUUUGGAAACGAAGAUUAAUACCUCAUAGUCUCGUAAGAGUAAAGCUCCGGCGGUAUAAGAUGGGUGUGCGUCUGAUUAGCUUGUUGGUAAGGUAAUGGCUUACCAAGGCGACGAUCAGUAGGGGGCGUGAGAGCGUGAUCCCCCACACGGGUACUGAGACACGGACCCGACGUCUACGGACGGCAGCAGUAAGGAAUAUUGGUCAAUGGGCGAAAGCCUGAACCAGCCAUCCCGCGUGAAGGAUGAAUGCCCUACGGGUUGUAAACUUCUUUUGUUUGGAAAGAAACGCCUGGAUUUAUCCGGGCCUGACGGUACCUUACGAAUAAGCACCGGCUAACUCCGUGCCAGCAGCCGCGGUAAUACGGAGGGUGCAAGCGUUAUCCGGAAUCACUGGGUUUAAAGGGUGCGUA